rnacentral:tRNA from 3 species
GGCGCGGUAGCCAAGUGGUAAGGCGAGGGUCUGCAAAAUCCUUAUACAUCGGUUCGAUCCCGAUCCGCGCCUCCA